rnacentral:rRNA from 1 species
GACGGAGGAUGCAAGCGUUAUCCGGAAUUAUUGGGCGUAAAGCGUCCGUAGGCGGUUUCAAAAGUCUGUUGUUAAAGCCCACAGCUCAACUGUGGAUCGGCAAUGGAAACUGUGAGACUAGAGAGUGGUAGGGGUAGAGGGAAUUCCUAGUGUAGCGGUGAAAUGCUUGGAUAUGUCAUAGAACACCGAUAGCGAAGGCAGCUCACUAGGUCUGGAUUGACGCUCAGGGACGAAAGCGUGGGGAGCAAACAGG